rnacentral:rRNA from 1 species
UGGGGAAUAUUGGACAAUGGACCAAAAGUCUGAUCCAGCAAUUCUGUGUGCACGAUGACGUUUUUCGGAAUGUAAAGUGCUUUCAGUUGGGAAGAAAAAAAUGACGGUACCAACAGAAGAAGUGACGGCUAAAUACGUGCCAGCAGCCGCGGUAAUACGUAUGUCACAAGCGUUAUCCGGAUUUAUUGGGCGUAAAGCGCGUCUAGGUGGUUAUGUAAGUCUGAUGUGAAAAUGCAGGGCUCAACUCUGUAUUGCGUUGGAAACUGCAUGACUAGAGUACUGGAGAGGUAAGCGGAACUACAAGUGUAGAGGUGAAAUUCGUAGAUAUUUGUAGGAAUGCCGAUGGGGAAGCCAGCUUACUGGACAGAUACUGACGCUAAAGCGCGAAAGCGUGGGUAGCAAACAGGAUUAGAUACCCUGGUAGUCCACGCCGUAACGAUGAUUACUAGGUGUUGGGGGUCGAACCUCAGCGCCCAAGCUAACGCGAUAAGUAAUCCGCCUGGGGAGUACGUACGCAAGUAU